rnacentral:rRNA from 1 species
AUUGAACGCUGGCGGCAGGCCUAACACAUGCAAGUCGAACGAGUGGCGGAAGGGUGAGUAAUGUCUGGGAAACUGCCUGACGGAGGGGGAUAACUACUGGAAACGGUAGCUAAUACCGCUUACGAUCAGAUGUGCCCAGAUGGGAUUAGCUAGUUGGUGGGGUAACGGCUCACCAAGGCGACGAUCCCUAGCUGGUCUGAGGUGAUGACCAGCCACACUGGAACUGAGACACGGUCCAGACUCCGACGGGAGGCAGCAGUGGGGAAUAUUGGACAAUGGGCGAAAGCCUGAUUGAGCCAUGCCGCGUGUAUGAAGAAGGCCUUCGGGUUGUAAAGUACUUUCAUCGGGGAGGCGGUACCCGCAGAAGAAGCACCGGCUAACUCCGUGCCAGCAGCCGCGGUAAUUC